UACGAAGGGGGCUAGCGUUGUUCGGAAUUACUGGGCGUAAAGCGCGCGCAGGCGGCUAUCCAAGUCAGUGGUGAAAGCCCGGAGCUCAACUCCGGAACUGCCAUUGAAACUGUUUAGCUUGAGGACGAGAGAGGUGAGUGGAAUUCCCAGUGUAGAGGUGAAAUUCGUAGAUAUCUGGAGGAAUACCGGUGGCGAAGGCGGCAUCCUGGACCGACAUUGACGCUGAGGAGCGAAAGCUAGGGGAGCAAACGGG
rnacentral:rRNA from 1 species